GUCGACCCCUAAGGCGAGGCCGAAAGGCGUAGUCGAUGGGAAACGGAUUAAUAUUUCCGUACUUGGUAUAAUUGCGAUGGGGGGACGGAGAAGGCUAAGCAAGCAUGGCGAUGGUUGUCCAUGUGAAAGUGAGUAGGCUAGUGACUUAGGUAAAUCCGGGUUGCUGUUAGGCUGAGACACGAGACGAGCACCCAAGGGUGUGAAGUUGCUGAUGCCAUACUUCCAGGAAAAGCCUCU
rnacentral:rRNA from 1 species